CUGGUAACACAGGGGCAGCUGCGGGGGGAAUCCGUAGGUGGCAAUCGGUGUGCGGAAUUCUUGGGCGUAAAGGGAGAGCAGGCGGGAAGGUAAGGCGGUCUUAAAAGUGCGGGGCUCAACCCCGUGAUGGGAUCGAAACUAUCUUUCUUGAGUGCAGGAGAGGAAAGUGGAAUUCCUAGUGUAGCGGUGAAAUGCGUAGAUAUUAGGAGGAACACCAGUGGCGAAGGCGACUUUCUGGACUGUAACUGACGCUGAGGCUCGAAAGCCAGGGGAGCGAACGGGAUUAGAUACCCGUGUAGUC
rnacentral:rRNA from 1 species